rnacentral:lncRNA from 13 species
AACUAUUGAAGGAUAUGAAGACUGGUUUAUUAGAAGAAGGGAAAGCUACCUUACUCACGAAAAUGUCUUUGGAAGAAGGGAAGCCAGAUCCUGUCACAUAGAGGAUAAAAUAUUCGUUGCACCACCGAACUUAUGACAAGUGAUUUAUUUAUUCCAAUUAUGUUUGCACCCAUUGCUUGUGCGACAGCAUUGAAAAUAUUACAUUCUCCAUGGAGGUGAAUUAAUUUGGCGUCAACAAUGUGCG